rnacentral:rRNA from 1 species
CUAUAUACCGCCGUCGCCAGCUUGCCCUAUGAAGGAAAAACAGCAAGCAUAAAGAAUUACCUCCAAAACGCCAGGUCGAGGUGUAGCAUAUGGGAUGGGAAGAAAUGGGCUACAUU